GAUGAACGCUGGCGGCGUGCCUAAUACAUGCAAGUCGAGCGAACGGACGAGAAGCUUGCUUUUCUGAUGUUAGCGGCGGACGGGUGAGUAACACUUGGAUAACCUACCUAUAAGACUGGGAUAACUUCGGGAAACCGGAGCUAAUACCGGAUAAUAUUUUGAACCGCAUGGUUCAAAAGUGAAAGACGGUCUUGCUGUCACUUAUAGAUGGAUCCGCGCUGCAUUAGCUAGUUGGUAAGGUAACGGCUUACCAAGGCAACGAUGCAUAGCCGACCUGAGAGGGUGAUCGGCCAGACUGGAACUGAGACACGGUACAGACUCCUAAGGGAGGCAGCAGUAGGGAAUCUUCCGGAAUGGGCGAAAGACUGACGGAGCAACGCCGCGUGAGUGAUGAAGGUCUUCGGAUCGUAAAACUCUGUUAUUAGGGAAGAACAUAUGUGUAAGUAACUGUGCACAUCUUGACGGUACCUAAUCAGAAAGCCACGGCUAACUACGUG
rnacentral:rRNA from 1 species